GGUCCUGAGGUCCCUAGCCAGUCUGCCUUCUUCCAGAAAUGGAAGAUUCAGUCCUUAAGAUGAAAGUACUGAAAUGGUACUGAUGAAAUCAGCACAGUGACGCCGAUUCUUCAUGAGACAGGCGCAAGUGGCAGUUUGGAAACAUCAUCUGAAAGAAGCAGAAGAGUCUAAACCAGUGUCACCAUAAGGUAAGAAAAAUGAAGAGCAACGACAUCAAGUAAAUUGUCCAAGUUACAUCACUAAGAAGUGGAACAACAGAGCACUUCAUCCUCUUUAACAGUUGCCUGGCAGCCCGAUGUACAGACGCACCUUGGUUUAUUUAAUUUCACAUAUGGAUGAACAUUUAAGCUACUUCUACUAUUACAAUUGAUGUUGUAAUAAUCAUUC